rfam:Harpegnathos saltator strain R22 G/1 HarSal_1.0_3.contig7027, whole genome shotgun sequence.
AAAAAGGGCCCACGCUACUUCUAUAGCGCGUUAUCUUGACGUAAUGUCAGGGUAGCGGGGUAUGGCUAUCAAGACAUACCCUGUGCGUAAUUUUUAUGACCACGAGGCUAUUGGCUGCCAAUUAAGCACCGAUGCCUCU